GAUGAACGCUGGCGGCGUGCCUAAUACAUGCAAGUCGAGCGAACGUCGUAGUAGCUUGCUUCUAUGACGUUAGCGGCGGACGGGUGAGUAACACGUGGGCAACCUGCCUGUAAGACUGGGAUAACUUCGGGAAACCGAAGCUAAUACCGGAUAGGAUCUUCUCCUUCAUGGGAUAUGAUUGAAAGAUGGUUUCGGCUAUCACUUACAGAUGGGCCCGGGGUGCAUUAGCUAGUUGGUGAGGUAACGGCUCACCAAGGCAACGUUGCAUAGCCGACUGGAGAGGGUGUACGGCACCACUGGGACGGAGACACGGCCCAGACUCCUACGGGAGGCAGCAGUAGGGAAUCUUCCGCAAGGGACGAAAGUCUGACGGAGCAACGCCGCGUGAGUGAUGAAGGCUUUCGGGUCGUAAAACUCUGUUGUUAGGGAAGAACAAGUACGAGAGUAACUGCUCGUACCUUGACGGUACCUAACCAGAAAGCCACGGCUAACUACGUGCCAGCAGCCGCCGUAA
rnacentral:rRNA from 1 species